rnacentral:rRNA from 1 species
UGGGGAAUAUUGGGCAAUGGGCGCAAGCCUGACCCAGCAACGCCGCGUGAAGGAAGAAGGUCUUCGGAUUGUAAACUUCUGUCAUAGGGGACGAAGGAAGUGACGGUACCCUAUGAGGAAGCCCCGGCUAACUACGUGCCAGCAGCCGCGGUAAUACGUAGGGGGCGAGCGUUGUCCGGAAUUACUGGGCGUAAAGGGUGCGUAGGCGGCGAUGCAAGUCCAUUGUGAAAAGCCCGGGCUUAACCUGGGAGGUGCAGUGGAAACUGUAUGGCUUGAGUGCAGGAGAGGAAAGUGGAAUUCCUAGUGUAGCGGUGAAAUGCGUAGAUAUUAGGAGGAACACCAGUGGCGAGGGCGACUUUCUGGACUGUAACUGACGCUGAGGCACGAAAGCGUGGGGAGCAAACUG